UACGAAGGGGGCUAGCGUUGCUCGGAAUCACUGGGCGUAAAGCGCACGUAGGCGGCUUGUUAAGUCAGGGGUGAAAUCCUGGAGCUCAACUCCAGAACUGCCUUCGAUACUGCGGGUCUCGAGUCCGGGAGAGGUGAGUGGAAUUCCUAGUGUAGAGGUGAAAUUCGUAGAUAUCAAGCAGAACACCUGCGGCGAAGGCGGCCUUCUGGACGAUGACUGACGCUGAGACGCGAAAGCGUGGGGAGCAAACAGG
rnacentral:rRNA from 1 species